CAUCACUUCGUUGUCCAGUUCCCUUGUAAGUACUUCUUCUUCUAAACAGUCCACCUUGUUGACUUCUCGGCCAAUGCUUUGUUCCAUCUCGAAUACUGCCCAUUUGUCUUUCAGUGCUCUUAGGGCUGCCUCUUCUUUCGUUUUGUCCUUGCAUUCUUUAUUGAAAGCCAUUAGUCUGGCUUUGAAGGCCUGAAUAUCGGCCAUUUGCUUUUGUAACUUAGAAUCCAUUCAAGACUCCUUGAUUAUUCUUUUGCCAAUUACUGGCUCUUCUAGGGCCACUAUAUUUGGCCUCAUCUGUCUGAACAUUUC
rnacentral:lncRNA from 1 species